rnacentral:misc_RNA from 1 species
UGUUCGAGCGUCAUUUCAACCCUCACGCCCCGCGUGGUCUUGGGCCCUGCCGGCGACGGCAGGCCCUAAAGCGAGUGGCGGCGCCCGACGGCCCUGAACGUAGUACAUUCUCUCGUUACAGGCGCCCGAGGGACGCUGGCCAGCAACCCCAACUUUCUAUGGUUGACCUCGGAUCAGGUAGGGAUACCCGCUGAACUUAA